GGCUCAGGAUGAACGCUGGCGGCGUGCUUAACACAUGCAAGUCGAACGGGAAUGUUUCGCUGAUGCGAUUUCGGUCAAAUCUUGAAGCAUUUUAGUGGCGGACGGGUGAGUAACGCGUGGGUAACCUGCCCUGUACAGGGGGACAACAGUUGGAAACGACUGCUAAUACCGCAUAAGCGCACAGCUUCGCAUGAGGCAGUGUGAAAAACUCCGGUGGUACAGGAUGGACCCGCGUCUGAUUAGAUAGUUGGUGAGGUAACGGCCCACCAAGUCAACGAUCAGUAGCCGGCCUGAGAGGGCGAACGGCCACAUUGGGACUGAGACACGGCCCAAACUCCUACGGGAGGCAGCAGUGGGGAAUAUUGCACAAUGGGGGAAACCCUGAUGCAGCGACGCCGCGUGAGUGAAGAAGUAUUUCGGUAUGUAAAACUCUAUCAGCAGGGAAGAUAAUGACGGUACCUGACUAAGAAGCACCGGCUAAAUACGUG
rnacentral:rRNA from 1 species